GACGAACGCUGGCGGCGUGCUUAACACAUGCAAGUCGCACGGGACUGGGGGCAACUCCAGUUCAGUGGCGGACGGGUGCGUAACACGUAAGUAACAUGUCCAAGGGUGGGGGAUAGCCGGCCCAACGGCCGGGUAAUACCGCAUGCAGUCACGGGGGACAUCCUCGGUGACGAAAGCCGGGGCAACCUGGCGCCCAUGGAGUGGCUUGCGGCCUAUCAGCUAGUUGGUGAGGUCACGGCUCACCAAGGCGACGACGGGUAGCUGGUCUGAGAGGAUGAUCAGCCACAUUGGGACUGAGACACGGCCCAGACUCCUACGGGAGGCAGCAGUGGGGAAUAUUGCGCAAUGGGCGAAUGCCUGACGCAGCGACGCCGCGUGUGGGAUGAAGGUCUUCGGAUCGUAAACCACUGUCAGCGGGGACGAAGGCC
rnacentral:rRNA from 1 species